UCAUAUAUACGUGUUUUGCCUAAUAUUUUUUUUGAAAUUAAUUGUUUUAUACGAGCUGCGACUACGAACACAUAAAUAUUUGCCUCCCCUCAAUCAUUGACGUUCUGGCGUCCCUGUAUUAGAGAAAAAACAGAAAAGUAUGAGACAGAAGAAGUUAUGUACAGCUCAUAAGAAACGAGCAUGUCAAUGCUUGAUUUAGUGUGUCUGUGCAAUCACGAAAUGAAAUUCCUGGGAGAAACUUAAAACGUCGACAGCUGGCUUAUAUACGUUAUGGGAACAAUUUAAUGUGUCUAGCAAUUGAAGUUUACUUAAUGAUGAUUUAUGUUUAUAAAAUUAUAGAUUUUACACAAGAUGAAU